rnacentral:rRNA from 1 species
UACAGAGGGUGCAAGCGUUGUUCGGAAUUACUGGGCGUAAAGGGCGCGUAGGCGGCCUGUUAAGUCGGACGUGAAAUCCCUCGGCUCAACCGGGGAACUGCGUCCGAUACUGGCGGGCUUGAAUUCGGGAGAGGGAUGUGGAAUUCCCGGUGUAGCGGUGAAAUGCGUAGAUAUCUGGAGGAACACCGGUGGCGAAGGCGGCAUCCUGGACCGACAUUGACGCUGAGGCGCGAAAGCGUGGGGAGCAAACAGG